ensembl:lncRNA
GCCUGCAUCCCUGCAGCAUGCCUAGCUGCUUUUCAGCCCACAGAGCUGUGUGAGACAGGGAGCCGGUUCUGUCCAGCAGAUGGUGGUGGUGGUGUGCCCAGUGCUUCCAAGAGGCAGAUCACACAUUCCUCCAGAAAAGUUCUCCAGGAGCCUGUGUUUCAGGGCAGAAGCGGAGGUCCCUGUGGAGGACUGCGGGCUGCAGUUACAGUGCUCCAGCUGCUGCGACUCCAGAGCCACCUACUCAACAACCCACUUCUCUUGAGGUCCUGGAGGACACUCCAGCAAUUCAGGCUUUUAUCCUUGGCAUUGAAGAUCUUAUGUUUACAAGUUCGUUUGGUUAAAGACUCCUUGAUGCAGCGGGUGAAGGAUCUGUUCAGCAGAUUAAUGUGCCCAUGGAUAAAUCAGACAGAUGAUGGAUACUCAAGCCUGGUCCCAAAGAAGCUGCAGCAAGCAAAUAAAAUCAAGAAAAGGGAGGAUGGGCUGAUUAAGUGA